UACGUAGGGUGCAAGCGUUAAUCGGAAUUACUGGGCGUAAAGCGUGCGCAGGCGGUUUUGUAAGUUUGUCGUGAAAUCCCCGGGCUCAACCUGGGAAUGGCGAUGAAGACUGCAAGGCUAGAAUCUGGCAGAGGGGGGUAGAAUUCCACGUGUAGCAGUGAAAUGCGUAGAGAUGUGGAGGAACACCGAUGGCGAAGGCAGCCCCCUGGGUCAAGAUUGACGCUCAUGCACGAA
rnacentral:rRNA from 1 species